UAGCCAGUCACGCAACCGCCCUAAGCCGGAGCGAGCGCCCUUCGUCAGAGCCCGCGCGCGCCCUCCUCCUUCCCUUUCUCUCAGCCCUACACCCCACCCUAUUGGACAAGUCCCUGCCAGUGCCGCGCGCAGAGCCACGCCCACAAACCACUCAGGGGCGCUCUGUGCGCAGGCGCGGGUUUGUUGACGUCAUAGAAAGGUGAAAGGAAAGCGAGGCGGGGAGGAAUAGCGCUUUUUCCUGCGAGUGGGGCGGCUAUUUCAUUGUAGUAACGGGAGAGGACAAAGCCAACAAUGGGAAAGCUGCCAAAUGGAAAAAAAGAAUAUUCAAAAGCCACUGAGUCAAAGAUUUUAUUGAAAAACAGAAAAUAAGAAAAUGUUCUAGAUUUCUCAGCUACAGCACCGUUCCAAACAUGUCUUGUUGCAGACCUGGGUCAGGAGCUGCCUUUCUUCUGCCCAGCUUGGAUCAGAAUCUUCCUUGUUCUGUCCUCUUAGUUCCCAGAAUCUGAUUCCUGCUGACUUCAGUAAACUUGACCACACUGCAGUUCAACCCUGUUUUCUGGUCCUAGCAGAAGAGUUUACGGGAUGCUACUGUUUCUCUGUAAUCAACUAUCCCAUGUUGUGUUUCCUUAUUUUUUAAAUUUAGUCUGAAUGUCUUAUGUUUUGCUAAGUAACCUUUUCUUAAGUUUCUUAAGCAAUCUUGGAAGAAGUGAACAUUUGUUUGUUAACAUCUGCAGAGUAUAUUUCUUUUCAUGAUGGGAUGUUUAUCUUCCUGUUCAGCAAUUAUGUCUUUAAUAAUGUACAACAUACAACUUUUCCUUUGUCAGGAGUUAAUCUGAGUCCUAUAGUUUAUCCCAAGCUAUUUUUAUGAUAUGUUACCUAAUGACAAUGGUCUAUUCAGUUAUAUCAGGAGGUUUUGUUCUUUUUGAUAUGCCAGGUUUAAUUGGCUUUAAAUAGUCUGCUUUUACUUUUAAUUACUUUGAACAAUAAGGAACAGCAUUAAAGUAACUAGUAAACAUAUUUUCUUAUUUGAUCUCACAUAUGGACUUUUAAAGAAUUGUGAAGGGAAUGCUUUCAGUUCCUGGGGGUAUACAACUCGUAAAUUUGUCAUAGCCACAUUUCUCCCUGUCUUUGAAAGAGCAGUGAGUGACUGUGCACAAAUGUAUUUGGUUGAUUUAAAUUCUACUUCAUACUAGAGCACUUCUGAGUAGCUCAUUCAGCUGCCUAAUUUUUUACAUUGGAAGAUUGGAGGAUGAACUUCCUUUUGGUGCUGUUCAUGUUUAUAAACCCUGCCACCCUUUUUUGUCCGGUUGUUGACUGGGUCAGAAAGCUCACCAUCAGCUGUAAAGGAUUCAAUGGUGUUGAUGAGCGGGUCAGCCGCCUGGCCUUGACUACAUUCCACAGCCCGGG